CUGGUGCCAGCAGCCGCGGUAAUUCCAGCUCCAAUAGCGUAUAUUAAAGUUGUUGCAGUUAAAAAGCUCGUAGUUGAAUUUCGGGGUUAGUAGGUUGGUCAUGCCUCUGGUAUGUACUGGUCUCACUGAUUCCUCCUUCCUUAUGAACCGUAAUGCCAUUAAUUUGGUGUUGCGGGGAAUUUGGACUGUUACUUUGAAAAAAUUAGAGUGUUUAAAGCAAGCUAACGCUUGAAUACAUUAGCAUGGAAUAAUGAAAUAGGACGUUCGAUCUUAUUUUGUUGGUUUCUAGGAUUGACGUAAUGAUUAAUAGGGAUAGUUGGGGGCAUUAGUAUUCAAUUGUCAGAGGUGAAAUUCUUGGAUUUAUUGAAGACUAACUACUGCGAAAGCAUUUGCCAAGGAUGUUUUCAUUAAUCAAGAACGAAAGUUAGGGGAUCGAAGACGAUCAGAUACCGUC
rnacentral:rRNA from 1 species